UACGUAGGGUGCAAGCGUUAAUCGGAAUUACUGGGCGUAAAGCGUGCGCAGGCGGUUUUGUAAGUCUGUCGUGAAAGCCCCGGGCUCAACCUGGGAAUUGCGAUGGAGACUGCAAGGCUUGAAUCUGGCAGAGGGGGGUAGAAUUCCACGUGUAGCAGUGAAAUGCGUAGAGAUGUGGAGGAACACCGAUGGCGAAGGCAGCCCCCCUGGGUCAAGAUUGACGCUCAUGCACGAAAGCGUGGGAGCAAACAGG
rnacentral:rRNA from 1 species